rnacentral:tRNA from 1 species
GCGGGUGUGACUCAGUGGUAGAGUGCAACCUUGCCAAGGUUGAAGUCGUGGGUUCGAAUCCCAUCACCCGCUCCA